rnacentral:tRNA from 1 species
CAGGGAAUAUUUUAUAUAAAAAUAUUAGUUUUGGGAAUUAAUGAAGGAAUUAUAAUUCCUUCCCUGA